CAAGGAGAAACAAAUAUGGCGCUGUGGAGUUCGAAAUCGAGAGUAGGCCUAUUGUUGAUGAGGCAAGCAGUCAGAGCAGUCCAGAACUAGAGGGUAAAGAGCUCCCUAAUCGAGCAUACUAUCUUGUGAUGUCAGCCUCAUUAGAAAAAAAGCCCUGUAUAAAGGUUUAGAAGAGUUAGCAGUGAUACAUAGCACUUCUAGGUCCAGUAGUACAAGGCUUGGAAGAGGUGUGGGAUAAGGAGGAUUGACCCAAGAACAUGAAAUGAGAAUUCAGUAACUCACAGAAGAGUUUUUACGUGUCUUGUGAAUCCAUGUGAAUAAACCAAGAUCCAGUGAAAAACACAUGCCUUUUCUUUGACUUUUAAUACACCUAUAUAGUCCUUGCGUGCUAUAGAUAAAUUCUAGGUUUCUCACAAUACACAAACACCAUUCAUAUUCCUUUUUAUUUCCAAAGUAAAUUUAUUCAAUUUAUUAUUAUUAUUAUUAUUAUUAUUAUUUAAAUUUGAUGGUGUGAAAUCCAGUCCUUAUGGUUAUUUUAGGGUUCAUAGAUUUUCAAAUAUUUUAUUUUUGCAGUAAGCUAUUGUACAUAUCAAAACAGAAAUGACAGAUAUAAAACAAAAGUAUCACGAGUAUCAGUUUACUGACCAAACAUUCAUAAGACCUGUAAUAUGCAAGUCACUGAGUAGAAGGAUUCUUUUCAUUCUACUGUAAUUUGUGCAGCAAUUCAGUGAACAUAAAAA